UACGUAGGGUGCAAGCGUUGUCCGGAAUUAUUGGGCGUAAAGGGCUCGUAGGCGGUCCGUCACGUCGGGAGUGAAAACUUGGGGCUUAACCCCAAGCCUGCUUCCGAUACGGGCGGACUAGAGUCCGGAAGAGGCGAGUGGAAUUCCCGGUGUAGCGGUGAAAUGCGCAGAUAUCGGGAGGAACACCAAUGGCGAAGGCAGUUCGCUGGGACGGUACUGACGCUGAGGCGCGAAAGCGUGGGGAGCAAACAGG
rnacentral:rRNA from 1 species